AGUGAACGCUGGCGGUAGGCCUAACACAUGCAAGUCGAACGGCAGCACAGUAAGAGCUUGCUCUUACGGGUGGCGAGUGGCGGACGGGUGAGGAAUACAUCGGAAUCUACUUUUUCGUGGGGGAUAACGUAGGGAAACUUACGCUAAUACCGCAUACGACCUACGGGUGAAAGCAGGGGAUCUUCGGACCUUGCGCGAUUGAAUGAGCCGAUGUCGGAUUAGCUAGUUGGCGGGGUAAAGGCCCACCAAGGCGUCGAUCCGUAGCUGGUCUGAGAGGAUGAUCAGCCACACUGGAACUGAGGCACGGUCCAGACUCCUACGGGAGGCAGCAGUGGGGAAUAUUGGACAAAGGGCGCAAGCCUGAUCCAGCCAUACCGCGUGGGUGAAGAAGGCCUUCGGGUUGUAAAGCCCUUUUGUUGGGAAAGAAAAGCAGCAGGUUAAUACCCCGCUGUUCUGACGGUACCCAAAGAAUAAGCACCGGCUAACUUCGUG
rnacentral:rRNA from 1 species